ensembl:lncRNA
GUACAGAGCCAUAGCAUUUAUCCAGUGUCCUCCCAGGGCGAGUGGUGCAUGUUACAUAUUGUUGAAAGCCUUUGAGUGAUUUAUCAGGAGAGCAGUGGUUAAAAUCACCCAGGAUGAAUUUUGGGGAGUCUGGUGAGAUGUGUUCUAGUCUAUUUAAUGAGCUUGUGAUGUGCUCAGUGGCAGUAACUGCGUUUGCUCUGGGGUGGAUGUAAGCCAGGAUGAUAAAAAGUUGAGGAAACUCUCUGGGGAGGUAAAAGGGUCGUAGGGAGACAGCCAGGAGCUCGAUGUCAGGGGUGCACAGUUUCUCUCUCACUACAACUGUGGAGCACCAGCGGGUGUUUACAUAGAGACACACACCGCCACCAUGUUGUUUACCGGUGCGCUCACUGUCCCGGUCGAGUCUGAGAGGGGGUGCGAAUCCAUCAAUAUGCGUCGUGCUUUCUUCAUCGUUCUUAUUUAACCACGUUUCGGUGAAAGCAAGAAUAGAGGCACUUCUGUAUUCAUGCAUGUGGUUAACGUUGGCUUGUAACUCAUCCAUUUUGUUGCGGAGGGAGCGCACAUUGGCCAAGAUGAUAGACGGAAGUGGCCGUUGUUUAAAUUUCUCCCGUUUAAGCCUAGCUUUAAUUCCUCCUUUUUUCUUGCCCCUUCUAGUUACCUUUUUUUGAUUGUGUGCGCUGGAUGAAUUCUUGCGGAUUAUUUCAUCGGGAAAAGUAUCCGUGGUGCAGGACGUUAAGUGUUGGUAUUUAGUUUGUGGUUAUCGAAACUAACGGUUGGACGCGGACAUGAAUGACAUCAAACUGGCCGUGCUGGGCAGCGGCGGAGUGGGGAAAUCAGGAUAACUACAGAAAUCAUCAUUUUUCAGAUUAUGGCGUUUGUGAGGGCUGUGUGGCAGGAGGGCGAUAAAGUUUUUGAAGGGGUGCUGCCAAUAAAUUGGAUUGACGAAGAAAGGAAAGUCCUCAGAUGGCCAAAAAAGGGACGGGCGUCGGCCUGGAAAAACAAAACGAAUCCAGCUGGAGACUGGCUGGACUUUCCCCUCAUAAAAAUAAAAUUUACUUCAGGCAAAAGCACAGGACUGCUCAGCAAGCCACCAAAGCCACCAAAUAUGACUAAUGAGACACCCAGUGUCAGAAACCAGGACCAGACCUCUUUGGAUAAUACCCCAACUCUAGAUUCAUCAUAUACCCACCCCCAGAGGAGCCCCUCCCCCUCCAAUCAUUCUGAUGUUGGGGGUGAGUCCUGGCAGGAUAGCUCACCUUCAUCUCCAAGGAACCAGUCCAUAAGGAGCCCCUCUCCCUCAUCCAGUCAUUUUGGGAACCACAGAGGAGGCUCCCAUUCUGGUGGUCCUCCUAGAGCCUCAAACAGCCAGUCCAUAGGGACCCCCUCUCCCUCAUCCAGUCAUUCCAGGAACCACAGAGGAGGCUCUCGUCCUGGUGGUUCUUCUCGAGCCUCAAACGGCCAGUCCAUAAGGACCCCCUCUCCCUCAUCCAGUCAUUCUGGGAACCACAGAGGAGGCUCCCAUUCUGGUGGUCCUCCUAGAGCCUCAAACAGCCAGUCCAUAGGGACCCCCUCUCCCUCAUCCAGUCAUUCCAGGAACCACAGAGGAGGCUCUCGUCCUGGUGGUUCUUCUCGAGCCUCAAACGGCCAGUCCAUAAGGACCCCCUCUCCCUCAUCCAGUCAUUCUGGGAACCACAGAGGAGGCUCCCAUUCUGGUGGUCCUCCUAGAGCCUCAAACAGCCAGUCCAUAAGGACCCCCUCUCCCUCAUCCAGUCAUUCCGGGAACCACAGAGGAGGCUCUCGUCCUGGUGGUUCUUCUCGAGCCUCAAACGGCCAGUCCAUAAGGACCCCCUCUCUCUCAUCCAGUCAUUCCAGGAACCACAGAGGAGGCUCCCAUUCUGGUGGUUCUUCCCGAAGUUCAAACAGCCAGUCCAUGAGGAGCCCCUCUCCCUCACCCAGGAACCACAGAGGCUCCCGUCCUGGUGGUUCUCCUUUAGCUUCAAACAGCAUCAGGGCCCGCUCCCCCAGAGAGAGGAACAGUGUAUUCCCCAUGGAAAAUUACAAAUUCCAGAGAUGUGUGAAGAAAAAAUUGGUGGAGAUCAUGGAGGUGGUGAAAAGAAUUGAGGCGGACCACCAAAGGGGAGGGACAUACCUAUUAAAAACCAUGUCGACCAUGGACGAGGUCCUCAUGUUAGAAGACAAGCUCAAUCAGGAGGAGAGACAGGCUCUGAUGGCACAGUUAAGCAAGGUCGGGGGGAAGGACAUAAAAGACUGUGUUGCAAAAAUUUUGAACAGAUUGAUGACGAAUGGCCUGAUGUCCCAUUUCAAUAUGAUGGGCCAUGGUGGGAAGACAGCUUUUAAAGCAAUGACUCUCUAUGGCGUCCUAACAGCUGCUGUUAAAAAAUGGAGUGAAAGGGCCACCGACCAUGACAUCGGGAGAGCUGUGGCAGAUCAAUUAAAACAUGCGCCUGGACGCUCCGGUGGUGGAGGCAAGAACAAUUAAUAAAGGGA